UACGUAGGGGGCAAGCGUUGUCCGGAUUUAUUGGGCGUAAAGAGCGUGUAGGCGGCCAGACAGGUCCGUUGUGAAAACUCGAGGCUCAACCUCGAGACGCCGAUGGAAACCGUCUGGCUAGAGUCCGGAAGAGGAGAGUGGAAUUCCUGGUGUAGCAGUGAAAUGCGUAGAUAUCAGGAGGAACACCGGUGGCGAAGGCGGGUCUCUGGGCAAUAACUGACGCUGAGGAGCGAAAGCGUGGGGAGCGAACAGG
rnacentral:rRNA from 1 species